UACGUACUCGCUUCGUCCUAAAAGUAUUGUCUUAGAUUUGUCUAGAUAUGAAUGUAUUUAGUCAUAUUUUAGUAUUUAGAUACAUCCAUUUCUAGAUAAACCUAAGACAAGAAUUUUGAAACGGAGGGAGUAUAAU
rfam:Hordeum vulgare subsp. vulgare, WGS project CAJW01000000 data, contig: morex_contig_198645